UACGUAGGGUGCGAGCGUUACUCGGCAUUACUGGGCGUAACGCGUGCGCAGGCGGUUUUUUUAGCCAGAUGUGCAAUCCCCGGGCUUAACCUGGGAACUGCCUUUGGAACUGGAAGACUAGAGUACGGCAGAGGGGGGUAGAAUUCCACGUGUAGCAGUGAAAUGCGUAGAUAUGUGGAGGAAUACCGAUGGCGAAGGCAGCCCCCUGGGUCGAUACUGACGCUCAUGCACGAAAGCGUGGGGAGCAAACAGG
rnacentral:rRNA from 1 species